AUAAGUUUUUGUUUUUUUUGCUUUUGCGAUCAUUUUUAUCAAUAUCACCUACACGAAUAAACCUGAUUGUUUGUUAAGAAAAAACAGCGAAUCAUCAUGGCAAGGAAAAUCACUGCUCUCUUCGUGAUGUGCAUUGUUCUCGUUGCUGCAACCUUCUACGUGCACGAAACCGCCGCGUCCGAUGCUCCGACGCCAGAAUUUGUUUCUUGUUUCAACAAUUGCAAAGACGAGUGCCUGACUACUUUAACUGGUCAGACCUAUAAAUGCGAAAUCAAAUGCGAUGACGAAUGCUCAAAAAAGGAAGCUGAACACAAGAUUAAGACUAUCUUCGGUUGAAGUUAAAGAGGCGCAUGGUUACACGAAGUUGUUAAAAGAGUACUGCGAGUGUAAUCGAUCCAUGGAAGAAAUCUAUAAAAUAAUGAUGUUCAUUUUCUUUUGUAAUAACCCUGAAACUAAUUCAGGUAAUUAAAUUUUCAAUAACAUUUUUGUUUUUGCUUUACUUUUCUUUUUAUGUAUGGAUUUUGAGAUCUCCUUUGGUAUCGACGUUGUUAUCAAAAUAUUUGUAGUACAUGCAGUAACUACAAAUUUAUGUAUGAUAAUAGUUUGAAGGUUGUAAUUCAAUAGUUUGUUGAAAAAAAUAAAAAAACAACAAAGAAAUCUAAUUAAUUGAUCA